rnacentral:rRNA from 1 species
UACGGAGGGUGCGAGCGUUAAUCGGAAUUACUGGGCGUAAAGCGUGCGUAGGCGGUUUGUUAAGUCAGAUGUGAAAGCCCCGGGCUUAACCUGGGAACGGCAUUUGAAACUGAUAGACUCGAGUUGGGUAGAGGGGAGUGGAAUUUCAGGUGUAGCGGUGAAAUGCGUAGAUAUCUGAAGGAACACCAGUGGCGAAGGCGGCUCCCUGGACCCAAACUGACGCUGAGGCACGAAAGCGUGGGUAGCAAACAGG